rnacentral:rRNA from 1 species
UACAGAGGUCCCAAGCGUUGUUCGGAUUCACUGGGCGUAAAGGGUGCGUAGGCGGUUUGAUAAGUCUGAUGUGAAAUCCCGCAGCUUAACUGCGGAACUGCAUUGGAAACUAUUUGACUAGAGGAAUGGAGGGGAGACUGGAAUACUUGGUGUAGCAGUGAAAUACGUAGAUAUCAAGUGGAACACCAGUGGCGAAGGCGAGUCUCUGGACAUUUCCUGACGCUGAGGCACGAAAGCCAGGGGAGCAAACGGG